rnacentral:lncRNA from 1 species
CUGAGCUGUGGCGUUUCUCAUUGGCUGAGCUGUGGAGGCUUCUCAUUGGCUGAGCUGUGGUGUUUCUCAUUGGCUGGGCUGUGGUGUUUCUCAUUGGCUGAGCUGUGGAGGCUUCUCAUUGGCUGAGCUAUGGCAUUUCUCAUUGGCUGAGCUGUGGCGUUUCUCAUUGGCUGAGCUGUGGCGUUUCUCAUUGGCUGAGCUGUGGAGGCUUCUCAUUGGCUGAGCUGUGGUGUUUCUCAUUGGCUUGCUGUGGUGUUUCUCAUUGGCUGAGCUGUGGUGUUUCUCAUUGGCUGAGCUGUGGUGUUUCUCUUUGGCUGGGCUGUGGUGUUUCUCAUUGGCUGAGCUGUGGUGUUUCUCAUUGGCUGAGCUGUGGUGUUUCUCUUUGGCUGGGCUGUGGUGUUUCUCAUUGGCUGAGCUGUGGUGUUUCUCAUUGGCUGAGCUGCGGUGUUUCUCAUUGGCUGAGCUGCGGUGUUUCUCUUUGGCUGGGCUGUGGUGCUUCUCAUUGGCUGAGCUGUGGUGUUUCUCAUUGUCUGGGCUGUGGUGUUUCUCAUUGGCUGAGCUGUGGAGGCUUCUCAUUGGCUGAGCUGUGGUGUUUCUCAUUGGCUGGGCUGUUGCCGGUUGGCAGAGAAAUCUUCCUUCAGUAGCAAAGUACUGGUACUUCCUGUUGAGAUGCAAGCAUCUGUCUCUUCCUGUUUGGAGUAUUGAUGAUGGGUGAUGGGGUGAGAGCUCCCCCUACAGGC